CCAACCGUAGCUCAGUUGGUAGAGCGCAGAGCUUAUACCUCUGUGGUCCCAGGUUCAAGUCCUGGCGGUUGGA
rnacentral:tRNA from 1 species